GAACGCCGUAUGAGGGGAAACUCUCACGUACGGUGUGGAGUGGGGGAAAAGGUGGAGAUAACUUCAAAAUCUUACCAAUCACUAU
rnacentral:ncRNA from 1 species